ensembl:lincRNA
CCUCUAACAGCCUGAAUGAGCAUGGCUGUUGCCACAGUGGCAGCCAGUCAAGGAAGAAGUUAGAAGAGGCCUGUGAGUCUGGAAGAGAAGCCUAAGGGCACAAGCACAGAUGCUCAGCAGGUGCUGGAGGGAGAGGGGCCGGCAUCCUCAGGUGAGUGAUGUGACAGUGGAGCUUCCUCAACAGGCCAAGGACACUUGCUUGGAGGGCACUGACUUACAGCACCACACACGGGGACCCUCCAGAGGAGCGGGCCAUAAUGACAAUAGUGUUUUACUGCCUUGUGCCAGUUCCUCCAGCCAUUGUGAAUGAUCCCAGCUGGGAAUCUCCCCUGAAGAGUAUCAGACUGAUGAUCUCCAACAUCCAACUGGUUCCUACAAAAGGAAGGAAAAAAGAGUGCCACCUACUUCAAACUGACCUUUGCCUUUGCAGCUACAUCAUAAAGCCAUUAUGUUAUUUACCGGUGAUGUGUAAUGACUACCAAUCCAAUGGCUAUUUAUGUUCACUGUCUUAUCAGUUUCAUUAGUGGUGUUCGAUGAACUCUUCACUCUAGAACCACGCUGUUCUUUUGACUUCCAUAAGGCAACACUCACCUGGUUUGUCCUCCUUCUCUAGCUAUUACUGCUCAACUGCUGGCUCCCUCCUGUUCAAAGAAGCUCCUAACUAAUAUCUCUUACUCCUUCAUAUGGCACAACUCUCUUAGUUACUAGACGGCAAAGUAGAGGGAGAAUCAUCAAGGCAGAAAGUUGCUAUAUCUUCAAACUUCCAUCAGAAUGAGCUCUAUCAUCUUCCAGGCCAGUGUUCCUUAUUGAAGCACUGCCUAUAGAGAGAACAGGGAAGAAAAGUUGUAUCACAGACUCUUAGUGAAUUAUAUGUUAUCUCUGACUUUACAAGAGUCAAGUGUUCUUUUUCUUUCCUAUGCUAUCAAAGCUAGGGUUGACCAUGUGACUUGAUCCCUGGAAAUGCUCUAUAAGAGAAAGUGUCCUGGGAGGCUUCAGAAAGGAAAGACAGAUUCUGCUCUCAUUUUUAAAAAGUCAACCAGAGGGCAAUGCCCUGUCACACAUGGCCACCUGCUUUCUGACUUUGAAUGAGCUGCGAAGAGUCUUACUACACACAAGUGCUGUAGCCAUUAGCAGCCUUCUGGAGGAAGCUGUACAGGCAGUGGUGCCUGCAAAUCUAUUGCACUUCAUCAGGGAAAACUUCUAGAGCCCAUCUCUGGGUAUUUCAUUCUUUGUUUAUGAUGUAAUUAGCCCAGUGUUUGCUACCAGAGCUGAUGCACCUGUACUGAAAAUACUUGGUUCAGUUACACUAGUCCUAAUCAGGCAGAAGAACCAAACAUGCCUGGCCCAUAAUUUUCUUAAGCAAAUACACCACACAUCCCCUUGGUGCACAGUGCAAGUGUGCUGUCAUGGUGGUCACUUCUGUGGCUGCCAGCUUAAACCCACUUGCAUCUCCCUGUCGUUCACAUGGCUUCUGGGACAUCUAAGCCAUGGAGUCACUUGCUCCUCCUGACGGCCUCUCCAGUUACGCUUCUCUCCAGUCUCCCAGCCUCAAGGCCCACACCAACAUUCACCCCACUUUCCUUGUCUGCAAACUCAGAAAUGUACAUGAGCUUCCCUCACCCUCAAUCCUUAAUCAGGUGAUUCCAAAAGACAUUUGGCCAUGUUUGAAGUCAUUUUAGAUAAUUGUGACUGGGGUGGAGGGUGGGUAGAGGGGGGGUUGUUGCAAACACUCCACUGUGUACAGGACAGCUCCACAAAACAAAGGAAAAUCAUGCCUGAAUGCCAAUACUGCCAAGGUUGAGAAACCCUGACUUACCCCAUCCAGUGAGCAAAGCACUUUGAACCUAUGGUCAAAAUAUUGCUAUCUUCUCUCUCACAGUCCAAGUUCUAACCACAGUCAUUGCUUGCCCUAUUUGCUUAGAUACCAUAUCUUUUCUCCUUUUAACCUCAACCUGCUAAUUCCUUGAGCAUAGAGUGGCCCCAAGGAUCUUAAAAUAUACGCUCAUAUCCCUUCUCUAUUUAAGUACUUUCUGUGGGCUACCAUUGCCUUUCAGAUACUUCCCUAAUGCUCGAGUUGCAAGUUCCACACUAAUUUGCCCGAUUAAUCUGUGCAUUCCUUCGGAAGCAUGCCCAGCCUUAUUUCAUGCCACACUCACUGAUGCCCAUCUCUACAGGUUCUCAAACACACCUCAGAGUCCUUUCUUUCUUUUUUUAAAGAUUUAUUUUAUUUCUCCCACCCCACCCCACACUCCCCUCAUUGUCUGCUCUCUGUGUCCAUUUACUGGGUGCUCUUCUGUGUCUUCUUGUAUUCUCAAUAGGCAGCUCCAGGAACCAAUCCUGGGACCUUCUGAAGUGGGAGAAAGGUGAUUACUCUCUUGCACCACCUCACCUCCCUAUUCUGCUGAGUCUUCAAUUUUCUCCCCUCUGUGUCUCUUGUUGCAUCAUUCUGCUGACCCAGCUCUCAGUGUCACCAGCACUCCUGUUUCGGGUGGCUUUCCUGUGGGUGCCAUUCUCACACAGGGGGAUACUCCUGCACAGGGCUGCAUUCCCAUGUGGGCCAGCACUCUGCAUGGGCUGGCACUUCAGCAUGGUCUCAGCAGGAGUUCCUGGGCAUCAAACCCUGGACCUCCCUAUGGUAGAAGGGAGCCCAACUGGUUGAGCCACAUCUGUUUCCUGAGGGCUUUUACACUGAAUGAGUUCACAUUCACUCUGCACUCCUCAGGACAGAUGCUUCUUUCUGUAUAGAAAUUGCUCUCGCCCUGGCCCCUCUAACUGUGCCCCACAUAAUCACCAGAAUCUUCAUCAGCGGUCUGUCCUCUAAGGACCUCUGCAUCCCUGCAGUGCCCACAUGCUGCCUCCCUUGGAACUGUAACUGACCGCCCUCCUGCCUCUCUGACCACUGGCUUCAAUUGGACCUCACUCACGCCACCAACACAGAGCCUCCAGUGUGUGAUCAGUGACAUUGUUUCACAGCCUUCAGCCUUUUCUCACUUUGAAUGAACAUGUACAGUGGCUUCUCUAUUCCUCACUACAAACUCAUCCCUCAGAGGUCUCAGGAUUUCGAUACUGUGUACAAUGUUGGGGAAAGAAACUCCUCAAGCCACACAUAAUCGGCAUCCAUCCAGAAAAACAGCCUGCCACGCUGGUCUGGGGUCUCCAGGGGCAGCAGUCUUUGAGGCAGCUGGCUCUGUGUCCUUGGGCCAAGGGAGACAAUCUUUACAAGAACCAGAUCUGGGCACAAAGGGCAGAGAGAUUGUGGGAGAAAAGUCCACAGGUGAGGGUGCUUUCUAGAUCAUCACUAUAAAAAUGAGGAGGGGACAGGGAAUGGCUCUCUAGCCAACAGCAGCUUACUCAGGUAACUUUCUGAGAUUGCAUGGACUUAAUUGCAUGAGAUGAGGAAACCCUAUGAAGUCAAUAAGCAAGCAGAAUUUCAAAGAAAUGCAGAUGUACUUUUGAAAUGAAGGGGAUUUAAAAAUUAUUAAGAUCAACUUGAUUCUCUUAACUCCUUGCCCUCUAACCACCCCCAGUCUCUGGUAACUUUUACCAAGGCCACACAACUUAUAAUUCACCCAAUCAUACAAUGAAAGCUCAUGUCAAACUGUGGCUCUACUAAUAAAAUUAGUUUAGAUUUGCAUAUUUGAUCUGAAAAAAUUGCAUAAGCCAUAUUAACCCAUGACCUCAACAGCAUAAUGUUCACUUAUUGAUGAACUGGUAAUAUGUUCAACAACCUUUUAAUGUGAAUCUCACUUACUUGCACAGUUUCUCCCCUUCCAAGAAGGAGUUCCUGAAUGCUGAAGUUCAAGUGGGUAACCAAGUUCAUACAAGGUCAAAUGACACUGCCAGGCUGGGAGUGCACAGUUUUAUGCAAUCACUUUACAUCAAAGGUCUUUAACCUUUAUUUGCUUAAUAAUUAACUCCAGAAAUUUGUAAGUCAUCCAGCCAUUUUAAAUUUAUUUUAUAUUGAUUUUUAAUGAGGACCCCUUUGAAUAUUUCAGCCUUACCUUAGUUAUUGUACAUGUAUUUUUAAUCAUUUUUAUAAGAAACAAGUACAUUUGUAAAAAUGACAAAUCAAAAUGAAGGAAAAUAUUACUGGCAAUCCCUUUUCUCAGAUAUAAGAUGUUAUUUUUUGAUACAUAGUUUUCAGGUACUUUUUGCUUCCGAAGGAGGUUAUUAGUGAGGUAAACUUUGGAAAACUGCCUUUCACUCAUCGUUUCCUGGAAAGCCUGUCAAUUCAAGUCCUUGAACCCGCUUGCUCUCCUGCCCGUGCCUGCGUGGCCUGUUUCCGCGUGGCCAGGUCCUCGAUGUCCCCCCGAAGCGAGAGCUGCCCAGGG